AUAAACUGACGAGUCCCAAAUAGGACGAAACGCGCGUCUUGGAU
rnacentral:hammerhead_ribozyme from 1 species